GACGAACGCUGGCGGCGUGCCUAAUACAUGCAAGUGGGACGCAAGGGAACACACUGUGCUUGCACACCGUGUUUUCUUGAGUCGCGAACGGGUGAGUAACGCGUAGGUAACCUGCCUAUUAGCGGGGGAUAACUAUUGGAAACGAUAGCUAAUACCGCAUAAUAUUAAUUAUUGCAUGAUAAUUGAUUGAAAGAUGCAAGCGCAUCACUAGUAGAUGGACCUGCGUUGUAUUAGCUAGUUGGUAAGGUAAGAGCUUACCAAGGCGACGAUACAUAGCCGACCUGAGAGGGUGAUCGGCCACACUGGGACUGAGACACGGCCCAGACUCCUACGGGAGGCAGCAGUAGGGAAUCUUCGGCAAUGGACGAAAGUCCGACCGAGCAACGCCGCGUGAGUGAAGAAGGUUUUCGGAUCGUAAAGCUCUGUUGUAAGUCAAGAACGUGUGUGAGAGUGGAAAGUUCACACAGG
rnacentral:rRNA from 1 species